CCUACGGGCGGCAGCAGUGGGGAAUAUUGCACAAUGGGCGCAAGCCUGAUGCAGCCAUGCCGCGUGUGUGAAGAAGGCCUUCGGGUUGUAAAGCACUUUCAGCGGGGAGGAAGGCGUUAAGGUUAAUAACCUUGGCGAUUGACGUUACCCGCAGAAGAAGCACCGGCUAACUCCGUGCCAGCAGCCGCGGUAAUACGGAGGGUGCAAGCGUUAAUCGGAAUUACUGGGCGUAAAGCGCACGCAGGCGGUCUGUCAAGUCGGAUGUGAAAUCCCCGGGCUCAACCUGGGAACUGCAUUCGAAACUGGCAGGCUAGAGUCAUGUAGAGGGGGGUAGAAUUCCAGGUGUAGCGGUGAAAUGCGUAGAGAUCUGGAGGAAUACCGGUGGCGAAGGCGGCCCCCUGGACAAAGACUGACGCUCAGGUGCGAAAGCGUGGGGAGCAAACAGGAUUAGAUACCCUAGUAGUC
rnacentral:rRNA from 1 species